AGCAAGGCAAACAGUACAGCACUUCUCUGUUAAGAGGAAACAAUAUCAUCUUCCAGAAAAUCAUAAAUAAGCUCCUGGAAACCAGGGAUCUUGUAUCUCCUUGGAGGUAAGCCUCACAGGCUGCAGUAUCAUCACGAGUGGAAGUCCCCAACUGCUGUACACCAGGGAGAGUCUCAGUCAUCUCCACCCGCUAUCUACAAGGCGAUUCUCUGUGCUGGUGGAAGAAGAAUGGAGAGAAAUGGGAAUGAAGGACAGACACAGACACACGGCUUCAGCUCCUACCUUCAGCCUGACUUUCACCACUCUCCCUAUGCCAAUAGAGUGGCGUCACAGGCUGAUUCCAUACAUGCCCAAAGCCUCUAUCCUGACACGUACCAUACGCCCUCCAGCCUAGCCUGCCACUGGGUCUAAGAUGUGGUCCGUCUCCCACUCCCCAGGGACGUACUCACCUCGGCAGUCUUUGCACAACGCCUUCAGCCUCUGCCUUUUGAUACCAUCCCAUGAGAGGCGGAUCCCACAAUUCUCACAGCACCUACAAGGGAAAGAGCCGAGAUCAGUGCUCCCAAUCCCAAGCCUCACCCGCAUGGCUCACCUUACACCCACACUCACCCAAGUGCAGGUAAUGAGGCUGGAGCUGUGCCUGUGCCUGUGGCAGAGCCAGAGCCAACAGCAGCGCUGGUGCCAGCCUUAUGCUCCUUCCGGGGAGUCUCCUUCCUGGUCUCACUCUUCUGGGGCCCAACCUGACGUUUCUUAGCCUUGGCUGGUUUAGAAGGCUUCUUUUUCUUCUUGCUGGGGGCAGGCAAGGGAUGGGUCUGGAGGUGAAGACAGCAAGAAUGUGAGUCAGUGCACGGGUGCCACGUGACUCAGUUGCCCCUGCACAGAUACUGAUAUUGUGAAGUACCUUGGGAACUGGAUAGCACAAGAUGCCUUGUCUGAAGUCGAAGAGGGUAAGGUCACAUGCAGGGCCCAGGUAUCGGGUCAGCUCAACUUUGCUUCGAAUCUUCUCUCCUGUGGGGCUGAGAAUGAACCAGAACGAAUUGGCUCCAAGAUGGCGCUAAUGUCAUGCCACCCACAGAACAUCCCCACGGUGAGAUGUAGGAAGCAGUCUGGAUUCAGCCUGUGAGCCUCACCCAAGUCCUUCAAUAUAACUAACAGGAAUACAAAAUAUGAAUAUAAAUACCAGCAUGCAUACAAAUGUUAAUAAAUACAACUGUGAACCUCAUUUUGAUCCAUGACAUCACAUAUUCUAUGGUAAUCACAUAGAAUUAUAAUGCAGGGGAAAAUUCUAUUAUCUGACAAUACUGUAAUAAUGUUAAUGUCAUAACACAAAACAGUAUUCAGGCACCUGUAGUGGUGUAUACAAAAGUAUAUACACAAGUGAUGUAUAAAAGAGUAAACAAGCCUAGUGUAUUGCACAUUGAUGUACAGUACAUGCUUGGUUAAUAAUAAUUACAAUUACUUGUUUAUAAACUUAGUGAUUCUUAUCAUUAUUUUAGAGUCCUACUUAACAAAAAAAUUAAUGUACUGUGAAACUGCAAUGUUAGACUAGUGGUAACCUAAUAUAAUUAAAUGGUUACUGCUUCUUUUGACUUCAUAA